rnacentral:lncRNA from 1 species
UGAUGGCUACGGAUGUGCGCGCCUGACGGCAGAAGCUGCCGAAAACGCCGCACGCCUCGCUCCACGUCACCUCCUUGUCGCCGUUGUAGGCGAGGUACAGCAGCUCCGCCGCCGCGGCACCGGCCGCCAGGAUCAGGUACGUGAACACCUGCAGAAUAAACAUGCCAUGGAUCAAUCUCAUUCAGAUCACCAGUAUUAUGGUCAUCGAGUACUCUCUUGCAGGGAUCUCACAGCAAGCACACAGGAGCUGACAGCAUACACUGCUGAAAUUAUGAAAUUAACAACAGGUAUAUGACGGACUGAAUCAAGUGUGCAGUUAUUUGCUUAAUGGAUGCUUGUUGAAACACUGAGGCACAAAAAAAAAUGGAUGUAAACAGAAAUCAAACAAAUCCAACGCAUAAUUAAGCUGUCAUAGUCUCUGCCAAAGCUAAUUUCAGUCUGAUGUGUUAAUUUGUUUGUUGAGGCACGAGUUUCGCAUGAGUUCUGUAAAAGGAACAGAUCUUCUAAAAUCCCUUGACACACCUCUUUCCAGAGUCCAAGAGAGCGGAAACUACAGCCGAAUGUAACACAUAAUCUUGAUGCAAGGAGAGCCCCAACAUCAUCAAAGUAAUCACAGUCUUAAUUAUUGCAGGAGUAAGUCACAAUCACAACAACAAGAAUUAAUAUACCAAAAACAUGAAGAAAAAAAUUCUUGUACCAUUAUAUUAGUCGUAAAAUUCGUCACGUGAUGUUGGCGGAAAAAAAAAGAACCAUUCUCAAACAUGCUACCACAACCGUGUGAAAAGUGUGAGUAGAGCAGAGACGGGAAGGCAAGAACGGACCUGGUCGAGGAGGAAGACGACCCAGGAGCGCGAUACGGUGGCGGGCCUCGGCACGGCCGUGUAGAACGCGGACACCAGCGAGUAGG